rnacentral:tRNA from 1 species
GGGGUUGUAGCUCAGUGGUAGAGCAUUUGCCUAGCAAGUUAUAAGAAGACUGGGUUCAAUCCCCAGAACCACA